CACACGUGUGGGGUUGGAUCACAAAUGCUGUUCCCCGGGGGGGCUCAGUAUUAGGGCUAUUCCUGUUUAACAUCUCUACUGAUGACCUAGCCUUUAGACUUAGAGAAGCCUUUGGCCUCAUUAAGAUGGUAUGACGAGAUGAAGGUGACAGCUUUGCAGCAGGAGCAGCAGGAUUGUCUGAGUACCUGAGGAGUGUGAGGUGACAGCAGGUUGAAGGAGGUAAUCCUGCCCUUCUACUCCAGUCUGGUGAGACCCCACCUGGAAUUCUGCAUGCAGAUCAGGGCCCUCAGCACAAAAAAGAUAUGGACACAUUCUAGUGGGUCCAGAGGAGGGCCCUGAAGAAUAUUUGCUGUGGAGCUGGUCUAGUCCAACUGGGCCCCUUUGGAGCAAUACACAUCUGUAUUCCUCAAAGAAAAUCAAUUCAAGUUGAAAGAAAGUUGAAUGCCAGGAAGAAGAUCAUUAGGUGUGAUAAAUGCAUCUGUGAAUGAUCUGAGUGUGCUCGCUGAAAGAGAAGAAUUUCAGGAGACUGAAAAAAGGGAAAAGUUUUCAGUGUGCUGGGAGAGAAUCUGUCAUGCACGUCAGCUGGAUCUUAGUUGGGUCACAGAUGAAGAAGAACAAUGUUCUCAUUUAAUGGGUGGUGUCUCCAAUCCCAUCAAUGCAAUUUAACUAAUGUGA